UGGCGGCAGUAGCGCGGUGGUCCCACCUGACCCCAUGCCGAACUCAGAAGUGAAACGCCGUAGCGCCGAUGGUAGUGUGGGGGCUCCCCAUGCGAGAGUAGGGAACUGCCA
rnacentral:rRNA from 1 species